rnacentral:rRNA from 1 species
UACGAAGGGGGCUAGCGUUGCUCGGAAUCACUGGGCGUAAAGGGUGCGUAGGCGGGUCUUUAAGUCAGGGGUGAAAUCCUGGAGCUCAACUCCAGAACUGCCUUUGAUACUGAGGAUCUUGAGUUCGGGAGAGGUGAGUGGAACUGCGAGUGUAGAGGUGAAAUUCGUAGAUAUUCUCAAGAACACCAGUGGCGAAGGCGGCUCACUGGCCCGAUACUGACGCUGAGGCACGAAAGCGUGGGGAGCAAACAGG